ACAACCCACAGCCUUGUGAAUAUCACAGAAGUCCUGACAUGGUGUGCUCAGUGCAAAGAGCUGAGAUUGGAUAAUGAAAUCUUGUUCUUCUUUAUUUUUGGAUGCUUUCAGUAAUGCACGUAACCUCUACUUAGAAGACAGAAGAUGUUCUGAGUGAGGUCAGAGAGACAUAAUGUUCCUGUCUCCUUCAGGAUGCAGUUUAAUGUGUCUCUGCCUCUGGAAGAUGUAGUGAGGCUUACAGUUUGUAAAAUGGGUCUAGAUGAAGUUUGGAUGUAAUUGUGUACAGUUUUUGGAGAAAACAUGAUCAUUUUCACCACCCGGUCUUAAUGCAGGUGCAAGGAUGUUUUCCUUGGAUUUUCACAUAUAUUGUUUUGGAAAUUGCUCAUUAUGGCCUAACAAGCAAUGGAAAUUUGCCAAACUAAGGUAAAACAGCUGAAGAUCAGCCAGAAGUCUCAGUGAUGAAGCUGAUGGAGGAAAAUGGGGAUGAAGUAAGUGGGCAUAUGAACACCUUAGGUGCUACUGUGCAGACCCAGAGGGAAAUUAGCAUAUAUAAUGAGUUAUGGGAAAAGAAUGACUAUGUAUGAAAACUGCACUGCAUAUGUAUGUCUUUUCUGUUUAAAUGUAGAACCUGAACUCUGAGAGCAAGUGCUUGUUUGUCGUUGCCUGAUAUGUAUAGUGAGAAUAAAGGAAUGCUGCUUUCUAACAC